GAUGAACGCUGGCGGCGUGCCUAAUACAUGCAAGUCGAGCGAACAGACGAGGAGCUUGCUCCUCUGACGUUAGCGGCGGACGGGUGAGUAACACGUGGAUAACCUACCUAUAAGACUGGGAUAACUUCGGGAAACCGGAGCUAAUACCGGAUAAUAUAUUGAACCGCAUGGUUCAAUAGUGAAAGACGGUUUUGCUGUCACUUAUAGAUGGAUCCGCGCCGCAUUAGCUAGUUGGUAAGGUAACGGCUUACCAAGGCAACGAUGCGUAGCCGACCUGAGAGGGUGAUCGGCCACACUGGAACUGAAGCACGGUCCAGACGCCUACGGGAGGCAGCAGUAGGGAAUCUUCCGCAAUGGGCGAAAGCCUGACGGAGCAACGCCGCGUGAGUGAUGAAGGUCUUCGGAUCGUAAAACUCUGUUAUUAGGGAAGAACAAAUGUGUAAGUAACUAUGCACGUCUUGACGGUACCUAAUCAGAAAGCCACGGCUAACUACGUG
rnacentral:rRNA from 1 species